CUUUACCACUCUAUAUACAAACCCUAGCCGUUUUCCAUUCUCGUUUUCACUGAGAAUCCAUCUCUCAAUCAUCAGUCAAACUCAGCGAACCGAAAUAGGUCCCGCUUCCUUCCAGUGAUAGAAGACUAACAUAUCUACAAAUCCCAACUUUUUUUUCGAAGAACGCCGUUUGGAGGUCGAAAUCAAUUCCGUUUAUUUCCCGUGAAAGUAGACUCACGCAUCUACGUUUCUACACCUUUCGUUCGUCAAACG